rnacentral:rRNA from 1 species
GGACUACCGGGGUAUCUAAUCCUGUUUGAUCCCCACACUUUCGUGCCUCAGCGUCAGUUACAGCCUAGUAAGCUGCCUUCGCUAUCGGUGUUCUUGACGAUAUCUAAGCAUUUCACCGCUACACCGUCAAUUCCGCCUACCUCGUCUGUACUCAAGCCCUGCAGUAUCAAUGGCACCUCGACAGUUGAGCUGCCGUAUUUCACCACUGACUUACAGGGCCGCCUACGCACCCUUUAAACCCAAUAAAUCCGGACAACGCUUGCCACCUACGUAUUACCGCGGCUGCUGGCAC